rnacentral:tRNA from 1 species
GGUCUCGUAGCUCAGUUGGUUAGAGCGUUCGGUUUACAUCCGAAAGGUCAUAGGUUCAAAUCCUAUCGGGACCA